CUAGGUGGCAGAGUGGUGAUGCAGCGGCCUGCAAAGCCGUGAACGUGGGUUCGAUUCCCGCCCUAG
rnacentral:tRNA from 1 species